AGUUUUAUAGUCAAUAAAUAUAUGAUAUUAAAUUGCAAAUUUAAAGUAGUAAAAAUUAUACUAAAGCUU
rnacentral:tRNA from 1 species